rnacentral:rRNA from 1 species
CCUACGGGAGGCAGCAGUGAGGAAUAUUGGUCAAUGGCCGGAAGGCUGAACCAGCCAAGCCGCGUGAAGGACGAAGGUGCCAAGCAUUGUAAACUUCUUUUAUCAAGGACGAAACAAAUGACGGUACUUGAUGAAUAAGCCACGGCUAACUACGUGCCAGCAGCCGCGGUAAUACGUAGGUGGCAAGCGUUAUCCGGAUUUACUGGGUGUAAAGGGCGUGUAGGCGGGACUGCAAGUCAGAUGUGAAAACCAUGGGCUCAACCCAUGGCCUGCAUUUGAAACUGUAGUUCUUGAGUGUUGGAGAGGCAGGCGGAAUUCCGUGUGUAGCGGUGAAAUGCGUAGAUAUACGGAGGAACACCAGUGGCGAAGGCGGCCUGCUGGACAAUAACUGACGCUGAGGCGCGAAAGCGUGGGGAGCAAACAGGAUUAGAUACCCCGGUAGUC